CGGCAUCUAUGUUAUCUUGUUAUUUAUUGAAGCUGCAUGAAUGAAUUUUUCCAAACUGUGAUAUCAAGCCGAGUUCGGCAAAAGACUUUUCGAAAUAUUUUUGCAACGAUAUUUUUUCAAUUUUGUUAUCGCGUAACCGCUGAAAAUAAGUGACGAAUUCGUGGGUGUUUUUUUUUUUCGUGAAAAGAUGGACUAUGUCGCGGUGUUAUGCAUCGUUUUCAGUUCGUUUUACGGCUAGCUAGCCCGUGAUAUGUUGACCUGGGCUUAGGAUGGAGGACGGCCCAGAUUUGUCGCAUCUCACUCCAGAAGAACGGGCCAUCAUCGAAUCCGUGAUGGUCCGACAAAAACAGGAGGAAGAAAGGGAAAAAGAAAUCAUGAGGAGAAAAGCGACCGAGGUCCAACUUCUUGAGGAAACGAUCAGAGCAAGAAACGAGCAAUUCAAGAAAGCUGGCAACGAACUGGACGCUACUUGUCAAAUUUGCCUUAAGACUAAGUUUGCUGACGGAGUUGGCCACUUGUGCAAUUAUUGCAACAUCCGAUGCUGUGCCCGAUGUGGCGGAAAGGUUACAUUGCGAUCGAACAAGGUGGUAUGGGUCUGUAUUUUAUGUCGUAAGAAACAAGAACUGCUUGGGAAAACGGGUCAGUGGAUGAUAGGUGGCGGAGGUCAGUUGGAAAUUGCCCUGGAUCGUUCGUCUCACGUCCAUCAACAAUCGCAACAGUACAUGCAUCAUCAGCAGCCGCCUUCUGACAAACGGCCGAAACUUGAACGUGCCCAUUCCGCUGCAGAAAAAGAAAAUCAGCCCCUUCAACGAUCUGGUAGCACUUUGAGAAGACAAUUUUCAGAACAGGACUCUAACAGGGGCCCUUCUUGCGAACGAUAUCAACAUCAGGGUUAUAACGAAGACGAUCCCAGAUAUUACCAAGGAGAGAUCGAGGGACUGAUGAGGCAGCAUCCUCAUUUGGUUCCCAGAAGAUAUCCUGACAGUUCGGAACCAGAAACCUCUCCAAUGGAUGUUCCAUCACAAAGGGUGUCAUCUGUUACAAGUUCUAAUAAGAAACAUAAAAGGACUGGGUCGACAAAGAAGCAUCAACCGCAUCCACCCCAACCGCAAAUCCAAAAAUCGUUUUCGAGUUCAGAGGAUGAUCUCAGGUCCACCCCGGAAUGCAGUGAUGAUCGAGACAGCGAAAAAGGAGGAAAUGGGGAUUGGCCACCAUUAAGCCAUUACAUUGUGGCUCCAAUGCACCGUCCCCUUCAAGAUGUUACUGCCGACAAUCGAUGUUUUACUGAACGAAGAAAGAAGACCGUAAGAUUCGAUCAGCAUGAGAACUGGGACAGGCAAGGGUCCCAAGACUCGCACAGGGACUCUGGAAUAGACACCUCUUCUACCUUUACAUCCAGCGAAGAUUCUACAAGGGGAGAUCUUCCCAAGCAUCCGUUACAAUGGCAAGUAUCCGUCGACGGUACGCGGAUGAUUGGUCACAUGAUCCUCCGGAGAGGUAGCCAAGAGUCUUCUGGCAAUAUCCUGGGACUUAAAGUGAUCGGCGGUCGUAUUCUUGAAAACGGUCAACGGGGUGCUAUUAUUGAGAAAGUGAAAAAGGGAAGCAUCGCCGAUGUCGAAGGACAAUUGCGCGCAGGUGAUGAAGUGAUCGAGUGGAACGGCAGAUUGCUACAAGGAAAAAGUUGUCAGGAAGUUUCGGACAUCAUUGCCGAAAGCAAACAUGAGGCCAAUAUCGAAUUGAUAGUGUCCAGAAGUAUGGGAAAUAGAAGGGCAGCUCAAGCGACCUGGCGUCAGUCUGUUGCCCACAGAGGUCAAAUGGCGCAAUGGCCAGGUAGUAAUUCGGAAAGUUACGAACGUCCUCACGUCCUUGUCACGUCACCAGGAAGUCCUGAACGUCCUCGACAAGGAAACCCACCUCUGGCACCCAGUAUCGGAGGUCGAAUCCAAGUUCGAUUAUCCUUUGAUCCUGCCACCUUACAGUUGCUGGUAACUGUGGUUUGUGCAGCAGGACUUGUAUCUAGAUCGCCACAUCAAUCGAGGAAUCCGUAUUGUAAAUUAUUUCUACUUCCAGACCGAUCGGAAAAGUCCAAGAGACGAACGAGGACUCUAGCAGGGACAAAUGAUCCGAUGUGGAAUCAAACGUUCGUUUAUUCGGGAUUAAGACGGAACGACCUUCGUCAGCGUGCUUUGGAGAUAACGGUGUGGGAUUACGUUCGUUAUGGAGCCAACGAUUUCCUCGGAGAGGCCAUUAUUGAGCUGUGGCCCUUAGAGGAACAACCUUUAUGGCGAACGCUUGGACCUCAUGAAGAGAUUGCUCUUACUCCUAGCGAACAUCUUUCUCCCCCGAGUACAGGAUCGCGAUUUUCCGAUUCAGACACCCCAUCCGAAUGCGAAAUUGAUGGAAGUAGAGAACGAAGAGGAGCCGACGGAGCCAGUGUAAGCAGUGUAGGGAGUUCCAUCAGUCCUCCCAGAGAAACAGAAAGGAGAUCCAGGAGAGACCAAGAGCCACUAAAUCCCUAUAAUUACAGGAGGAAUGGAAUGUCAGGUCAAAGAUCGCAUUCUGCAGCCCCUUGUGAGUCCCCUAGUGUUCAUCUUUCGCGUUCCCGUUCGAAAUCUCCUCGACGAUCCGCUACCGAUCAUCGUUCGUUAUCACCACCGGACGUACGAAUCCAAGAUUAUCAGAAUUAUACGUAUCCGAUUCCUCGUUUCCAGUCCAGAUCGGCGACAGCAACUCCGACGGGUUCACCGAAGAAACGUCAACUUCCGCAAGUGCCGCACGCUUUGGCUCGGGCACUUCAAGAACGCGUUUCUCAAGACUUAGAGGAGCGAGCUUUUCGACAAAGAGGUCGUUAUAACACGUAUCGAAGUUCGGGAACGGGAGUGUGGGAAAAACGGUACGGUGGGCUUAGUGAUAGUGACUUAGCAAACCAUUCGCGAUUGAGACGAUCGUAUUCGCCGGAAAGAGAUAGGGACACUUUGGGACUCGUUGAUUUUGAUAGCGACAUGGAGUCGGUCGCUUCUGUAACCAGCAGCUCGUUUUCAACACAAUCCGAAAGGCCUCGAGGAACAAGAAUGAUCAGUGCUUCUCGUCCCGAUAGUACCGAAUAUUCCGGUGGAAGUGACAGGUAUCCUUAUUCGGGAUACCGAGAAAGAGAGAGGGAUCGACCGUACCAUAACGUCAAUAGGGAACAAGGAAUUAGGGAACCUAUGGAACAACACUCUAAUCAGGAGCAUCAUCAUCAUCAUCAUCAUCGAAGUUACGAUCAUCAUCAUAGGGAAGGUAGCGUGAAGAGAGGCCAGUUUACAAGAAGUAUGUCGAACACAGAAGUACCAGCUGAUGAAAAGACAGAUGGUAGUUUGAGUGAUACAGCUGUUGGUCAGUUUCAUGGUUUAGAAGCGAACCAAAACGAACCGGCUCGGAAAGAAAAUCACGGCAGGGAACGUGAUAGAGACAGGGCGAAUCAAUUCAUGGGACUAAGCAAGAAAAGCAAUUCGACAAGUCAACUUUCUGCCACAGGUCGGAAAAGGCGAAUGGGUUUCGGACGUAGGGGAAAGACUUCUUUUACCGUUCAUCGUUCUGAGGAAGUUUUACCCGGUGACGUGCGAAUAUCUAAGCAGGGCUCUUCCGCUUCCAGUGAUGGCGAAGGGUCCGUUGACGGAGACAGAUGGUCACCGUCUUUAAGAUUGGCUGGUGAAAGUGGCCAGUUGGCAGAUUUUAUAGACGGUUUGGGACCAGGUCAACUAGUGGGACGCCAAGUUCUUGGAGCUCCCGCUUUAGGGGACAUUCAACUCUCCCUUUGCUAUCAAAAAGGAUUUUUAGAAGUUGAAGUUAUAAGGGCGAGAGGUCUUCAAGCAAGGCCUGGAUCCAAAGUACUGCCAGCCCCUUACGUUAAAGUUUAUUUAGUUAAUGGAAAAAAGUGUAUAGCAAAAGCGAAAACGUCAACGGCUAGGAGAACUUUGGAUCCACUUUAUCAGCAACAACUACAUUUUAGGGAACCAUUUCAGGGCUGUGUACUUCAGGUCACCGUUUGGGGCGAUUAUGGUCGGAUAGAAGGGAAAAAAGUGUUCAUGGGUGUAGCCCAAAUAAUGUUGGACGACUUAAAUCUGAGCAAUAUAGUGAUAGGAUGGUACAAAUUGUUUGGAACUACGUCCCUGGUUAGUGGACCACCUUCCCUUGGCCUAUCGCGCCGCAGUUCAAUAGCUAGCCUAGAUUCUCUCAAAUUGUAAUCUUCAUUUACAACCAUUUACCAUUUACCAAGUCCUCAACAAUUCAUUAUUAAUCAGUCAACCACGACAGAAUCGAUAAUAACUGAUCUGUCUGAAAUGCAAGAUGCUUUCUAUAUAUCUUGUUUUUCUUUCGUUCACUCAUUUCUCUUACUUUUUUUUUUGAGUGGUUUACCUAUUAAACUUAUCAAUUAUUACUUAUUUCAUGUUGUAAAUAUCUAUUAUAUUAAUUUAACGUAUUAUUUAUUCCUCAUGGCACUGUACUCUGGUACUUUUUAUUAGGCCUGUUUAAGUAUAAUACAUACGUAGGUAUCUUGCAUGGAUGCUUCCAUAUUCCAUAUCAUCUUCAUCUACCAAACGCCAUGGUCUUUUGCCUUCUAAACGUCAAAAAUAAACGACAUAGUGAGAAACUUAGCCGGUUACUUCUUUGGAAACGAAGAAGAUAAUUGUUGUACAGAAAACUUUUUACGAAAGCUACUACUUGUUUAAGGUAUACCUAAGACUAUAUCCCGUUUACUUUAAGACUUAAAAAAAGGUAAUUUAUCGUUAUAUAUUUGAACAAAUAAUACCUGCAUUUACUAUUACGUAUUAAAAAAAGAGUUUAGUACUUACAAUUAGUACAUACCCGUAUAGUAUUCUAUGAUUAUUAUUAACGCGUUAUUAUCAUUAUUACCUUUUCAUUAAUGAACUACGGUAAGUGAUAGUACAUACAAGUUAUUAGAAAAUGAAAACAGAAGAAGUUUAUAGAUUUGACGCACACCAUGUAUAAUCUAAAACAAAAAUCAUAUCGUGAUUUGUAUAAGAGAAAAAAAUCACUUUAUCUAUAUGUAUAUGUAGGUAAAUAUAUCUAAUAUAUACAUAUAUGUAUUAUACAUAUGUAUACAGGGUGUCCCAAAGAUAAAAAGAAACGAUAUCUUCGAAAUCAGAAUUGUCUUUUAAAGCAUCUUGGGCGACUCUGUAUAUUAAAGCUUUAUUGGAAUUGAAAACCGCUUUUUUACGAAACGAUAACUAGUGGAUAUUACUUAGAAUAUUGAUGAAAUGUAGAGAUAUGAUGUGCAUAAUAGUAAUUAAACAUUUUAUUAUUACAUUGCAUGUGAUAAUCAUUUUUAUUAAGUAUCCAAUGAAUACAACGUUUAAAAUAUCUUAAUUUUAAUUAU